AUGAGAGUCAUCUUUUCACAGUAAAGACUAGAAAUGCUAAUAAGAUGCAGUGAAGGCAGGUUUCUGGUCUGUAUGUGAGAACUUCUCCUUUACCUCCCCAGGCAUUUGAGGAAUGUGUAUUGAUGAAGAUUUUUUGAAAGGUGAUAGGUAAGAAUAAAUACUACAUUUUUUAACCUUUGUCUGAUGAUGGAAGCCCCUCACAUCCUAGCAAUGUAUUUUCUUGCCCUGCACCAUUUUUUUUUUUUGCCUCAGAAAUCAUAGUUCUCUGUAAAAUAUGGCAAAGUAACAGCUCUGUAACAGUGCUCACUAAGAAGACAAGCAGCUUUAUUGUGGCUCCUCACAGAAGCAGCCAUAAGUAAGUUAUAAGUUGGGACUGCAGAAAAAAGUUUUAUGGUCUCAUUUCCACCAUACUUCUCUGCUGCCAACUCCAUGCCCACUCCCAUAUGAGUGCCCCCACUCUUAACCUCAAGAUAUUGAGCUCCUUGGAUAGGUACAACAUUGCUAGGCCUCUUGUUCCCUACCCCUCAUCCUUCAUGAUGUCCUUCAUGAUGUCCAUUUGCCUAUUUCCCAUCGCUUCACUCAGUGUUUCUUGUCAUGUUCAAGCUGGGCCUCUGUGUGUUGUCUGCCCAUGUUGUGGUUUAUUAUGCUCAUCUUGUUUGGGGCCAAAGUAUCUUUGCUAGGAAAGCAUCCCCUAUAUUAUUAUAGCCUGGUAGAUUUUCCAUUGUUUCAAGAAACCCAUAUGCUUUUUCCCUUGAUGGAGAGAUUAGGAGAGGCCCUGUUGAUAUCAGGUGUUCUGAUUCCUCAGAAGCUGAGGUUAUUAGAUUUACCUCCAUUUUAUUGUGAAUAUGCUUUAGCUUCCUGGUCCAUGAAGAAUUCUGUAACCCAACAGCAGGAUGCCUUGGGUAAGGGAGGAGCCCUUGUACUCAGUGGGAGACACGGCCGAGGGAUCACAAGAAGACCUGUCUCAGUCCCCUUCCACUUCAGCACACAAGGUCAAAGCAUGUCGUGCAUUUCUCUUCUGCUAUUAAUCUUCAUUACCCAAACAGUCAUUAAAUGAAACUCAGCCCACGUUUUUUUUUCCUGUUCAGUUUUUAUUACCACCACCUGACUAAUUAUUAAAAAGCAAGCAAGCAUCAAUUAGAUCCAGACACAUACAUGACAAUUACACUGGGGAGACACGACAGGGUUGAACAACACAUCCCCCUGGAGUGCAUAAUAAUCUGGCAGAGACCAGAGCUCUAUGUAUAAGCAACAAAUGCAUCUAAUUGACUUCCUGGGAAGCGAGGUCCUCAUGUCAAAACAUCUGGGUACAAUUUUCUGGGCAUUUAAACAGCUCUGACUCCAGAGAGACAUGGAGUAUGCCCUGGGCUGCAUCUAGACUGGAUUUACACAACCCCCUAGCACCUUAUCCUUGGUUCUUGCACCACAUAUGCCUUUUUCUUUAGCUCUUGGUCCAGUUCACCUGUUAUAGUUUGAAGUGAUAGACUUUUCUUCCUAUAUUUCAUCAGCCAAUCCUGUACCACACUGAAUUUCUGGCCAUUCCAUGGACAGGAAAGGAGGGUCAGUAGGCACCUUACACAUGUUCUUUCCCCCCUUGCUUUGCUAAAAAUGUGCACUCAUUCUUCAACUCCUGGUCUAAAUGUCACUGAGUUAAUGUAGUUUUUACUGAUUGCCCCCAAGCAUUUAGCUGCCUCCCAUCUUCUUUUUUUUAACUUAUUAGUUUAUUCAUGAGAGACACAGAGAGAGAGAGAGAGAGACAGAGACAGAGACAGAGACACAGGUGGAGGGAGAAGCAGGCCCCAUGCAGGGAGCCCGAUGCAGGACUCGAUCCUGGGACUUCAGGAUCAUGCCCUGGGCCAAAGGCAGGCGCUAAACCCCUGAG
rnacentral:lncRNA from 1 species